AAGAAGGCCCUCGGGUUGUAAAGCAUUUUCAGCGAGGAAGAACGCCUAGCGGUUAAUACCCGCUAGGAAAGACAUCACUCGCAGAAGAAGCACCGGCUAACUCCGUGCCAGCAGCCGCGGUAAUACGGAGGGUGCAAGCGUUAAUCGGAAUUACUGGGCGUAAAGCGCGCGUAGGUGGCUUGAUAAGCCGGUUGUGAAAGCCCCGGGCUCAACCUGGGAACGGCAUCCGGAACUGUCAAGCUAGAGUGCAGGAGAGGAAGGUAGAAUUCCCGGUGUAGCGGUGAAAUGCGUAGAGAUCGGGAGGAAUACCAGUGGCGAAGGCGGCCUUCUGGACUGACACUGACACUGAGGUGCGAAAGCGUGGGUAGCAAACAGGAUUAGAUACCCUGGUAGUCCACGCCGUAAACGAUGUCGACCAGCCGUUGGGUGCCUAGCGCACUUUGUGGCGAAGUUAACGCGAUAAGUCGACCGCCUGGGGAGUACGGCCGCAAGGUUAAAACUCAAAUGAAUUGACGGGGGCCCGCACAAGCGGUGGAGCAUGUGGUUUAAAUCGAUGGACGCUACAAACCUUUCUAACUC
rnacentral:rRNA from 1 species